CAGUCGAACGGACUCAUAUUGAAACCUAGUGAUUUAUGAGUUAGUGGCGGACGUGUGAGUAACGCGUGGAUAACCUGCCGUAUACCGGGGGAUAACACUUAGAAAUAGGUGCUAAUACCGCAUAAGCGCACGGCUCCGCAUGGGGCAGUGUGAAAAACUCCGGUGGUAUACGAUGGAUCCGCGUCUGAUUAGCUAGUUGGCGGGGUGACGGCCCACCAAGGCAGCGAUCAGUAGCCGGCCUGAGAGGGUGGACGGCCACAUUGGGACUGAGACACGGCCCAAACUCCUACGGGAGGCAGCAGUGGGGAAUAUUGCACAAUGGGGGAAACCCUGAUGCAGCGACGCCGCGUGAGUGAAGAAGUAUCUCGGUACGUAAAGCUCUAUCAGCAGGGAAGAAAAUGACGGUACCUGACCAAGAAGCCCCGGCUAACUACGUGCCAGCAGCCGCGGUAAUACGUAGGGGGCAAGCGUUAUCCGGAUUUACUGGGUGUAAAGGGAGCGUAGACGGCAGCACAAGUCUGGAGUGAAAUCCCGGGGCUUAACCCCGGAACUGCUUUGGAAACUGUGCGGCUGGAGUGCAGGAGGGGUAAGCGGAAUUCCUAGUGUAGCGGUGAAAUGCGUAGAUAUUAGGAGGAACACCGGUGGCGAAGGCGGCUUACUGGACUGUAACUGACGUUGAGGCUCGAAAGCGUGGGGAGCAAACAGGAUUAGAUACCCUGGUAGUCCACGCCGUAAACGAUGAUUACUAGGUGUCGGGGGACCAAGGUCCUCCGGUGCCGGCGCAAACGCAUUAAGUAAUCCACCUGGGGAGUACGUUCGCAAGAAUGAAACUCAAAGG
rnacentral:rRNA from 1 species